GAUGAACGCUAGCUACAGGCUUAACACAUGCAAGUCGAGGGGCAGCAUGGUCUUAGCUUGCUAAGGCCGAUGGCGACCGGCGCACGGGUGAGUAACACGUAUCCAACCUGCCGUCUACUCUUGGACAGCCUUCUGAAAGGAAGAUUAAUACAAGAUGGCAUCAUGAGUCCGCAUGUUCACAUGAUUAAAGGUAUUCCGGUAGACGAUGGGGAUGCGUUCCAUUAGAUAGUAGGCGGGGUAACGGCCCACCUAGUCUUCGAUGGAUAGGGGUUCUGAGAGGAAGGUCCCCCACAUUGGAACUGAGACACGGUCCAAACUCCUACGGGAGGCAGCAGUGAGGAAUAUUGGUCAAUGGGCGAGAGCCUGAACCAGCCAAGUAGCGUGAAGGAUGGCUGCCCUAUGGGUUGUAAACUUCUUUUAUAAAGGAAUAAAGUCGGGUAUGGAUACCCGUUUGCAUGUACUUUAUGAAUA
rnacentral:rRNA from 1 species